GGUUUCUCGCCCGACCGCGCGUGGCAACAGCGCCGCAUGUAAACACGGCCGCCUCCCCGAAAGCGAAAGCGACUCGCAUUUGACUCGCAAAUUAAUUCUCUUGUGGGGCCCUGGCGAUAGAUUUGGAGGUAUUCAACUCCUGGCAUUACAAAGCGUUCCGGCAAGGGCACGAGGGCUGCGAGGAAGCCACUAGGAUUCUCUCAGACCAACACAGCACGAGGAGGAGAUGCAGACCAGCAGAUCCUGUCGUACUUAAGCCAUUCUUGUUGUUCAUCCUGAAUAAGACACACCUUUGAGAUGUGACCCCCCCCCCCCCUGGAACCAGCCCUUGUGGCCCAGAGCUGCUUUUUGGGAUUCCAUGAGAGGAUUCCGAAAAAGGCCUUCAUUGCCAUGGUAAUUUUACUUUUAGUAAAGCC